CACGUAGGGGCCGAGCGUUGUCCGGAUUCAUUGGGCGUAAAGAGCUCGUAGGCGGUUCAGUCAGUCGGGUGUGAAAUCUCCGGGCUCAACUCGGAGGGGCCACCCGAUACUGCUGUGACUCGAGUCCGGUAGGGGAGUGGGGAAUUCCUGGUGUAGCGGUGAAAUGCGCAGAUAUCAGGAGGAACACCGGUGGCGAAGGCGCCACUCUGGGCCGGUACUGACGCUGAGGAGCGAAAGCGUGGGGAGCAAACAGG
rnacentral:rRNA from 1 species